rnacentral:rRNA from 1 species
UACGAAGGGGGCUAGCGUUGCUCGGAAUCACUGGGCGUAAAGGGCGCGUAGGCGGACUUUUAAGUCAGGGGUGAAAUCCCAAGGCUCAACCUUGGAACUGCCUUUGAUACUGGAGGUCUUGAGACCGGUAGAGGUGAGUGGAACUGCGAGUGUAGAGGUGAAAUUCGUAGAUAUUCGCAAGAACACCAGUGGCGAAGGCGGCUCACUGGACCGGUUCUGACGCUGAGGCGCGAAAGCGUGGGGAGCAAACAGG